UCUGACCUCAAAUCAAGUAGGACUACCCGCUGAACUUAAGCAUAUCAAUAAGCGGAGGAAAAGAAACUAACAAGGAUUCCCCUAGUAACUGCGAGUGAAGCGGGAAAAGCUCAAAUUUAAAAUCUGGCAGCUUUGGCUGUCCGAGUUGUAGUCUGGAGAAGCGUUUUCUGUGCUGGACCGUGUACAAGUCUCUUGGAAUAGAGCGUCAUAGAGGGUGAGAAUCCCGUCUUUGACACGGACUACCAGUGCUUUGUGAUGCGCUCUCAAAGAGUCGAGUUGUUUGGGAAUGCAGCUCAAAAUGGGUGGUAAAUUCCAUCUAAAGCUAAAUAUUGGCGAGAGACCGAUAGCGAACAAGUACCGUGAGGGAAAGAUGAAAAGCACUUUGGAAAGAGAGUUAAACAGUACGUGAAAUUGCUGAAAGGGAAACGCUUGAAGUCAGUCGCGUCGACCAGAACUCAGCCUGGCUUUUGCCUGGUGUAUUUUCUGGUAGACGGGCCAGCAUCAGUUUUGACCGCUGGAUAAAGGUCUUGGGAAUGUGGCACCUUCGGGUGUGUUAUAGCCUAGGGUUGUAUACAGUGGUUGGGACUGAGGAUCUCAGCAUGCCUUUAUGGUCGGGGUUCGCCCACGUUCAUGCUUAGGAUGCUGGCGUAAUGGCUUUAAACGACCCGUCUUGAAACACGGACCAAGGAGUCUAACAUGCCUGCGAGUGUUUGGGUGGAAAACCCGAGCGCGUAAUGAAAGUGAAAGUUGGGAUCCCUGUCGUGGGGAGCACCGACGCCCGGACCAGACCUUCUGUGACGGUUCCGCGGUAGAGCAUGUAUGUUGGGACCCGAAAGAUGGUGAACUAUGCCUGAAUAGGGUGAAGCCAGAGGAAACUCUGGUGGAGGCUCGUAGCGAUUCUGACGUGCAAAUCGAUCGUCAAAUUUGGGUAUAGGGGCGAAAGACUAAUCGAACCAUCUAGUAGCUGGUUCCUGCCGAAGUUUCCCUCAGGAUAGCAGAAACUCAUGUCAGAUUUAUGUGGUAAAGCGAAUGAUUAGAGGCCUUGGGGUUGAAACAACCUUAACCUAUUCUCAAACUUUAAAUAUGUAAGA
rnacentral:rRNA from 1 species